CUGUGGCGAGAGGAUUCAGUCUGGGGCGCAGGUCGUGCAGAUCGGAAAUCAGGUAGGGCUUCCCCGAGCGGGGGCCGUCCGGUCGCACGCAGCGCCUGUGCACCCGACGCAUUUGUCUCUCGUCCGAAGGACGCCGCAGCCGGCUGGGUAGUGCAAGCGCGACGACCUGAGGGGCGGAAGAUGGCAGGUGGCCGCUGGCGUGCCUCGUGCGCGUCGGCGGUUGUUAGCCGUUCCGUCAGUGGUCCGUCACCCGGCCGAGGUGUCGCGAGGCCCUUGGGGGCCUCAUCGCCUCCUCCUCAGAGUCGCGGGUCAGAGCGUCGCAGGUGGAAUCCGUCGUCCCGUUCGCACCCCUCCGGGGUGGUCGGGCGAACGGAGGCCUCCGUUGGUGGCGCCGGACCCGUUGGAGGCUGGAGGCUUGCGGCGAGUAGGUCGGUCACCCACCCGACCCGUCUUGAAACACGGACCAAGGAGUCUAACAUGUGCGCGAGUCAAUGGGUCUUGAAUAGGCCCAGGGGCGCAAUGAAAGCAAAGGACGGCCUCAGCGCCGUCCGAGUUGGGAUCCCCGUCUUCGGGCGGGGCGCACCAACGACCCGUCCUAUUCGGCUCGCCGAUUGGGCGGAGUUUGAGCGUACACGUUGGGACCCGAAAGAUGGUGAACUAUGCCCGGACAGGACGAGGCCAGAGGAAACUCUGGUGGAGGUCCGCAGCGGUUCUGACGUGCAAAUCGACCGUCAGAUCUGGGUCUAGGGGCGAAA
rnacentral:rRNA from 1 species